rnacentral:tRNA from 1 species
GCCUUCGUAGUGUAGUGGUCAGCAUGCUAGAUGCGUAAUCGAGAGGUCCGUGGUUCAAUUCCCGGCGAAGGCG